rnacentral:rRNA from 1 species
GACGAACGCUGGCGGCGUGCUUAACACAUGCAAGUCGAACGGAAAGGCCCUGCUUUUGUGGGGUGCUCGAGCGGCGAACGGGUGAGUAACACGUGAGUAACCUGCCCUUGACUUUGGGAUAACUUCAGGAAACUGGGGCUAAUACCGGAUAGGAGCUCCUGCUGCAUGGUGGGGGUUGGAAAGUUUCGGCGGUUGGGGAUGGACUCGCGGCUUAUCAGCUUGUUGGUGGGGUAGUGGCUUACCAAGGCUUUGACGGGUAGCCGGCCUGAGAGGGUGACCGGCCACAUUGGGACUGAGAUACGGCCCAGACUCCUACGGGAGGCAGCAGUGGGGAAUAUUGCACAAUGGGCGGAAGCCUGAUGCAGCAACGCCGCGUGCGGGAUGACGGCCUUCGGGUUGUAAACCGCUUUCGCCUGUGACGAAGCGUGAGUGACGGUAAUGGGUAAAGGAGCACCGGCUAACUACGU